AAAAGGAAGGCGCAAGGCGGAAAGGGGGUCGGGGGCAUGGUCAAGGGCACGGAGAGCCUGUAGCCUGGGCGCACAGACUGUCGCCACAGUGAGUGCCUGCGACCCCGAAGUGGCACGUGCGGACACCGGACCGAGACUGUAGCCACGCCCACUUCAUGAAGCCGGACCUGCGCAGCCCCCAUCCGGUCCUCCAGGAACGGGAUUACGAGACCCAGUGCGGUAACCGCUGGCACACGCGUGCUGCCGCAGCCCCGGCCAACCCCCCCCCCAGCUCCCAGUAUUGUCUUCCGGUUGCUAGACGACGCCGCUUUCCAGUACAUUAUUCGGAAUACAAAAACUAAAAUCAGGGGAUGUGUCACACGGCACCUUCGCAUCUCCUAACGGCGGGGCCCACGGCUGCUGACGCAGACGGAAGAGAAACUCGGAGGAGAUACCGUCCCAGAUGUAAAGGGGUGAACUCUCUCUUCCUCUGACCUCGACAGAAGUCCGAGGAGGAAGACUCAACUCUCUCUUAUCUACAGGGUGUUCCAAAGAACCUCGCUCUUCUCUCUUAAUGGCUUGAUACACAUUUUCACACCUCGAAGUCGGUUCCCGCUACAUCCAGGUCACUGGAUCCGAAUUUUCCGGAGCCAAGGUCGAAACACCACAACUUACUACUACGGAUGGCGAGAGUCAAAAGUGUAACGUCCUCGUGUCCGACUCCACCGGGACCGUACAGGAAUCGGGACAGAAUCGAAUUUGCCCAUGUCCAAUGCCUUAUCUACGUGGCAACAUUCGUGAGAACCCAUUAAUAUCUGAUAAUGAGGAGGAGUGGGGGAGAGGAUGCGGAAGGUUCCCCUGAGCACAGUCACCACCUCAGGUGGGGUCAGCUGCUCAGGGAGACAGAUGCAGACUGUCACCCUGACUGACGCGUUGGCUUUCCCAGCCCCCUCCACCACCCCCCCCCCCCCAGCCUUGCCCAUCUCCACUGAUUCUGCCUUGGCCCAGUCCUACCGAUGCACGCAUCGGGGGGUGUCUUUCGGAGGCCGUCCGGAAAGGCUUUGCUUUUCUUCCGAAAAAGACUGGCAAUGCCCCUCGCCUUUUUCCUUCCUCCACCUGGUUCUGUGAGGUGAACAGCCACCUCUGUAAAGCCUCUAGUACCCUAGCGCACAAAGGCUCUCUCGCUGCCAGCCUUCCCUUCCCCGGGGGUCACAGUGGCAAUCGAAGAACACUGGAAACGCUUGGAACAUAAUUAAGCCAAAGAAGACAGACUGUAUUAUUACAACUAACUGCUGGCCCACUACCCUCAGCUACUCCAAAGGGAACAGGAUGUUAAGAAAUGAUUCUGUCUCUGGAGCGCCUGGGCGGCUCAGUCGGUUAAGCGUCCAACUCUUGAUUUCGGCUCAGGUCGUGGUCUCCCAAUUCGUGAGUUCGAGCGCCAU